rnacentral:rRNA from 1 species
GACGAACGCUGGCGGCGUGCCUAAUACAUGCAAGUUGAGCGCUGAAGGUUGGUACUUGUACCAACUGGAUGAGCAGCGAACGGGUGAGUAACGCGUGGGGAAUCUGCCUUUGAGCGGGGGACAACAUUUGGAAACGAAUGCUAAUACCGCAUAAAAACUUUAAACACAAGUUUUAAGUUUGAAAGAUGCAAUUGCAUCACUCAAAGAUGAUCCCGCGUUGUAUUAGCUAGUUGGUGAGGUAAAGGCUCACCAAGGCGAUGAUACAUAGCCGACCUGAGAGGGUGAUCGGCCACAUUGGGACUGAGACACGGCCCAAACUCCUACGGGAGGCAGCAGUAGGGAAUCUUCGGCAAAGGACGAAAGUCUGACCGAGCAACGCCGCGUGAGUGAAGAAGGUUUUCGGAUCGUAAAACUCUGUUGGUAGAGAAGAACGUUGGCGAGAGUGGAAAGCUCAUCAAGUGACGGUAACUACCCAGAAAGGGACGGCUAACUACGU